GGCUCUGUAGCUCAACUGAAUAGAGCAUCUGACUACGGAUCAGAAGGUUGUGGGUUUGAAUCCCGCCAGAGUCACCA
rnacentral:tRNA from 1 species